rnacentral:rRNA from 1 species
ACGCUGGCGGUGCGCCUUAUGCCUGCAAGUCGAGCGAAGCUUUUCAGUAGUUUACUACAGAAAAUGACUGAGCGGCGAACGGGUGAGUAACGCGUGAGCAAUCUACCUUAGUUACAGGGAUAGCCCGAGGAAACUCGGAUUAAUACCUGAUAUUCUUUAUUUCUCGCAUGAGAAUAAAAGGAAAGGUCAGCCGAACUAAGAUGAGCUCGCGUUCUAUCAGCUAGUUGGUGAGGUAAAAGCUUACCAAGGCUACGACGGAUAGCUGGUCUGAGAGGACGAUCAGCCACACGGGGACUGAGACACGGCCCAGACUCCUACGGGAGGCUGCAGCAGGGAAUAUUGUGCAAUGAACGAAAGUUUGACACAGCGACACCGCGUGUGGGAUGACGGAUCUAGGUUUGUAAACCACUUUCAGGAGGGAAGAAAAUGACGGUACCUCCACAAGAAGCCCCGGCCAACUACGUGCCAGCAGCCGCGGUAAUACGUAGGGGGCGAGCGUUGUCCGGAUUUAUUGGGCGUAAAGAGCUCGUAGGCGGUUCAACAAGUCGGUCGUGAAAGUUCAGGGCUCAACCCUGAAAUGUCGAUCGAUACUGUUGUGACUAGGAUAC